rnacentral:rRNA from 1 species
AUCGAUGAUCCACGAUGGAUUUUACUUAAAUUUUUGCUUGUAUAUCUCUGUCAUUGAAUGUUUUAUUAGAAUUAUUUUCUUUAAAUAUUAAUUUAUAUAAUGUCAGGUCAAGGUGCAACUAUAUUUAAGGUUGAGAUGGGCUACAUUUAAUGUUAAUUUAUUAGUUUAUUUAUUGUAAUAUAAAUAUUAAAUAGGAUUUGAAAGUAAUUAUUAAUAACUAUUAAUAAUGAUUUUAGCUCUAGAUUAUGCACACAUCGCCCGUCACUCUCAUUUUAAGAUGAGAUAAGUCGUAACAAAGUAAUUCUACUGGAAAGUGGAGUUUGAAUUAUC